AGCAGCCGCGGUAAUUCCAGCUCCAAUAGCGUAUAUUAAAGUUGUUGCAGUUAAAAAGCUCGUAAGUUGAAUUUCGGGAUUGACGUGAUGGUCGUGCCUUAAGGGGUAUGAACUGUUGCUGUUGAUUUCUCACCUUCUGGAGAAACUUGAUGUCCUUAAUUGGGUGUCUUGCGGAUCCAGGACCUUUACCUUGAAAAAUUAGAAGUGUUUAAAGCAGGCAUUUUUGCUCGAAUACAUUAGCAUGGAAUAAUAGAAUAGGACGGCAUGGUUCUAUUUUGUUGGUUUCUAGGAUCACCGUAAUGAUUAAUAGGGAUAGUUGGGGGCAUUAGUAUUCAAUUGUCAGAGGUGAAAUUCUUGGAUUUAUUGAAGACUAACUACUGCGAAAGCAUUUGCCAAGGAUGUUUUCAUUAAUCAAGAACGAAAGUUAGGGGAUCGAAGACGAUCAGAUACCGUCGUAGUCUUAACCAUAAACUAUGC
rnacentral:rRNA from 1 species